rnacentral:rRNA from 1 species
GACAGAGGUGCCAAGCGUUAGGCGGAAUCACUGGGCUUAAAGCGUGUGUAGGCGGAUUUGUAAGUACCUUGUGAAAUCCCAUGGCUCAACCAUGGAACUGCUCGGUAUACUGCGAAUCUUGAGCCACUUAGGGGCUACCGGAACAAAUGGUGGAGCGGUGAAAAUGCGUAGAUAUCAUUUGGAACGCCAAUGGUGAAAACAGGUAGCUGGGAGUGUGCUGACGCUGAGACACGAAGCCAGGGGAGCGAACGGG